UUUGUUUGGGGCAUGAGAUAAACAUCUGAGCAUAAGCGGCAGAACACUAAAGCGAUUGGUGCAAACACAUCAGUUGAAUGUUUUGAGUGAGAUGAAGCGAAUAUAGCUUUUGGCACAGAGGCAAACAUAUUUGCUUUAUUUGAAAAAGGAAGUUGGCGAUCUAACUCUGCAACUCCGUUCCGUUGUUAUCACAGAAGAGUACUUUUUUUCGCCAUUGCUUCAGUUGUUCCUGAGUCAUCGUUUCAGUUUGAGAUUGUGAAUAGUUGCAGCAAUGGUUAGUAACGAGGGCAACGAGGAGGAGAAAGACCUUGAGUUUUUGUUUGAAGAUGUUAUAAACGACGUCGCACAAAAUGAUAUUGAAACUGCCAAGUUAGAGAGUGAGAGCAGUAGCAGUGAUGACGACGAAAUUCAUCAAACACACUCUCACUCUUUCACUUCUCUCCAAUGGCCCCAAAGUUACAAAGAGACUACAGAUUCUUAUACACUUGCAGCAACUCCACAUUUCGAAUCAAUUCUACGAGUACCAAGUAUUAUAUUGUCCAGUUUUGAAAGUCGUUCAAAGCAGAACUCGCAAAUAGAUGGAAAGACUCCUUUCCUCUCUAGUCCUGAAGUCACUACCCAAUCACCAUUGUUGAAGGAAGAUGCAGCACAAGGGCAUUCAGUAGGCGAAUUGCCCGUUAGUCGUGGGUGCAGCUUAAUUCAAACAAUUUUCAAUGCAACUAAUGUGAUGGCUGGAGUUGGCAUUCUCUCAACACCUUAUACAAUGAAAGAAGCUGGUUGGAUUAGCAUGGUGUUGAUGGUUCUUUUCGCUGUCAUUUGUUGCUAUACAGCCACCCUUAUGAGAUACUGCUUUGAAAGCAGAGAAGGAAUCAAUAGCUACCCAGAUAUAGGAGAAGCUGCAUUUGGAAAAUAUGGUCGUAUUAUUGUAUCAAUCAUCUUGUACACGGAAUUAUAUUCAUGUUGUGUAGAAUUCGUCACCUUGGAAGGAGACAACCUCACUGGACUCUUUCCAGGAACAUUCUUAGAUUUGGGUAGUUUGCAUUUAGAUUCUGUGCACUUGUUUGGAAUUUUAGCUGCACUUAUUUUUAUCCCAACUGUUUUGCUGAAGGAUCUUCGCAUAAUCUCUGUACUGUCAGCUGGAGGAGUUUUUGCAACACUGUUGAUUGUUAUCUGUGUGUAUUGUGUUGGGAUGAUGGAUGGUAUUGGAUUCCAUCACAGCACAAAAUUUGUCAAGUGGAGUGGCAUUCCAUUAGCUAUUGGUAUCCACGGGUUUUGCUUUGCAGGCCAUUCAGUUUUUCCAAAUAUUUACCAAUCUAUGGCUGACAAAACACAAUUUACCAAAGCAUUAAUUGUAUGUUUUGCAUUGUCUGUUGCAAUAUAUGGAGGUGUUGCUAUCAUGGGAUUCCUUGAAUUUGGCAACGACACUUUGUCUCAAAUAACAUUAAAUUUGCCACGAAAUGCAUUUGCUUCCCAGGUUGCAAUGUGGACAACAGUAAUUAACCCAUUCACCAAAUAUGCAUUAUUGAUGACCCCAUUAGCAAGAAGUCUGGAGGAGCUGGUACCAGAUAGAUACUCAAGUAGUAAUCGGUGUUUCGUUCUUAUCAGAGUUGCACUUGUUGUAUCAACAGUUUGUGCCGCUUUUCUGAUUCCCUUUUUCGGGUAUGUAAUGGCUUUAAUUGGCUCUCUCUUCAGUAUACUUGUGGUAAGCAAACACUUCAAUGUACUCACAAACACUUUCACAACAACACAUUCAAACAUAUAUGAUGAAUAAAUCACGAAAGGUCCAUUUUCGUUAUGGAAAAUAGGAAGUGUUUGAUAUAAUUGAGAAACUGAGACCUAUGUUUAACUAUAAUGUUUGUUGGCAUCAACUUGACAUGAGCUUGUUCCGUCUAUAGUCCACUGUUCUUUCCUUUAUUAUUAUUGUAAGGAAUUUCACUGCAAACUGAUUUUGGGAGUGCAAAAUUUACAGUCAGUGAUAUUUCCGAGUUUAUGUUUUAUGAGAAUUGUGGGGAAAAAAGCAUCGAAUACACAGGUUGCGCUGAGCGUGGUAAUUACUGCAUUUGGAGUCAUUUUUGGAGUUCUGGGAACAUAUUCAUCUGUGGUGAGUAUUGUGAACAGUUACUGAGACAUCUACUCUUCUUCACUUCAAUUUUUGUGUCCAAGUAUUUCUUUUUA